GACGAACGCUGGCGGCGUGCUUAACACAUGCAAGUCGAACGGAAAGGCCCUGCUUUUGUGGGGUGCUCGAGUGGCGAACGGGUGAGUAACACGUGAGUAACCUGCCCUUGACUUUGGGAUAACUUCAGGAAACUGGGGCUAAUACCGGAUAGGAGCUCCUGCUGCAUGGUGGGGGUUGGAAAGUUUCGGCGGUUGGGGAUGGACUCGCGGCUUAUUAGCUUGUUGGUGGGGUAGUGGCUUACCAAGGCUUUGACGGGUAGCCGGCCUGAGAGGGUUACCGGCCACAUUGGGACUGAGAUACGGCCCAGACUCCUACGGGAGGCAGCAGUGGGGAAUAUUGCACAAUGGGCGGAAGCCUGAUGCAGCAACGCCGCGUGCGGGAUGACGGCCUUCGGGUUGUAAACCGCUUUCGCCUGUGACGAAGCGUGAGUGACGGUAAUGGGUAAAGAAGCACCGGCUAACUACGUG
rnacentral:rRNA from 1 species